rnacentral:rRNA from 2 species
GGACUACUGGGGUAUCUAAUCCUGUUUGCUCCCCACGCUUUCGUGCAUGAGCGUCAGUGCAGGCCCAGGGGAUUGCCUUCGCCAUCGGUGUUCCUCCGCAUAUCUACGCAUUUCACUGCUACACGCGGAAUUCCAUCCCCCUCUGCCGCACUCCAGCCAUGCAGUCACAAAUGCAGUUCCCAGGUUAAGCCCGGGGAUUUCACAUCUGUCUUGCAAAGCCGCCUGCGCACGCUUUACGCCCAGUAAUUCCGAUUAACGCUUGCACCCUACGUAUUACCGCGGCUGCUGGCAC